rnacentral:piRNA from 1 species
UUUCAGGACUUGUUACAAGA